rnacentral:rRNA from 1 species
GACGAACGCUGGCGGCGUGCUUAACACAUGCAAGUCGAACGGAAAGGCCCUGCUUGCAGGGUGCUCGAGUGGCGAACGGGUGAGUAACACGUGGGUGAUCUGCCCCUUACUUUGGGAUAAGCCUGGGAAACCGGGUCUAAUACUGGAUAGGACCAUGCUGUAGGUGGUGUGGUGGAAAGAUUUUUUCGGUAAGGGAUGAGCUCGCGGCCUAUCAGCUUGUUGGUGGGGUAAUGGCCUACCAAGGCGUCGACGGGUAGCCGGCCUGAGAGGGUGGACGGCCACAUUGGGACUGAGAUACGGCCCAGACUCCUACGGGAGGCAGCAGUGGGGAAUAUUGCACAAUGGGCGCAAGCCUGAUGCAGCGACGCCGCGUGGGGGAUGACGGCCUUCGGGUUGUAAACUCCUUUCAGCCAUGACGAAGCCCUUGUGGGGUGACGGUAGUGGUAGAAGAAGCACCGGCUAACUACGUGCCACCAGCCGCGGUAAUACGUAGGGUGCGAGCGUUGUCCGGAAUUACUGGGCGUAAAGAGCUCGUAGGUGGUCUGUCGCGUCAUUUUGUGAAAGCCCCGGGGGCUUAACUCCGGGUUGGGCAGGUGAUACUGGCAUGACUGGAGUACUGUAGGGGGAGACUGGAAUUCCUGGUGUAGCGGUGAAAUGCGCAUAUAUCACGGAGGAACACCGUGCCGAAUGUGGUUCUCUGGGCCGCAACUGACGCUGACGAGCGCAAGCCCUUUAGCGAACAGUAUAUAUACCCUGCUAUCCAAGGGUCAAUUCCACAUUGUAUCCCAGUCUUCCCUUCUCCCCCACCCCUGGGAAAAAAAAAAAAACACAUUUUUUUUCUCCUUUGUGAGGUUUAUUCCCCGCCUUUUCCUCUCU